rnacentral:lncRNA from 1 species
AUAAAAGAGCAAUGAAUGGAGUACUUCAACGCCUAAAUACCUGACGUGUGACAGCAAAUGCCUGUUCCCAUGGAGCUGCUGCUUCUGAGAAAGCUUGAAACAGACAAAGAAUAAGGUAGAAAUGACCUCCUCACUAGAGAUGAAAAGAAGCUGUCCUGGUGAGGAAAUUGGAUCCCAGCUUUUGCCGCUAAGAUUCUUCUCUUCUGCCUCUGGUUUUCUUUAUUGUUCACCCCCAGAAGCAAUCGCUCUCUCACAAGGCAACACACGCAAUAGAGUGAACAGUGAUUCUACAGUCUGAUUCUGGAAAAGGCGACCACAGUGGAAAGAGUGAUCCACACAAGUAUAGGGCCUCCUGAUUAAAACACUAAGAUUUCAUCUCACGCUGUGCCUUUAUACUGUUGAGAUACUAAAGAGGACACUAAAGAUCAAAGUGCUACUUUACAACAUUUUGAAGAAAACAACUGCUACCUGUGUAUUAGUUUGUGCAGAUGUGUUACACAGCUUAGCUGUGUCUGUACCAGUUUAUUAGAAUCAAAGUAUUUUUAAAGUACCUAAGGCCAGGCACAGUGGCUCACACC